GUGUCAGCAGCCGCGGUAACACGUAGGAUCCGAGCGUUAUCCGAAUUUACUGGGCGUAAAGCGCUUGCAGGCGGUUUGGUAAGUUGGAUGUGAAAGCUCCUGGCUCAACUGGGAGAGGUCGUUCAAAACUACCAGACUGGAGGGUGGUAGAGGGAGGUGGAAUUCCCGGUGUAGUAGUGAAAUGCGUAGAUAUCGGGAGGAACACCAGAGGCAAAGGCGGCCUCCUGGACCAUACCUGACGCUAAGAAGCGAAAGCUAGGGUAGCGAAUGGGAUUAGAUACCCCUGUAGUCC
rnacentral:rRNA from 1 species